UUCCUACGGGAGGCAGCAGCAAGGAAUUUUCGGCAAUGGGCGCAAGCCUGACCGAGCAACGCCGCGUGGAGGACGACGGCCUUCGGGUUGUAAACUCCUUUUGCGGGGGACGACAUCGACUGUACCCCGCGAAUCAGGCUCGGCUAACUCUGUGCCAGCAGCCGCGGUAAGACAGAGGAGCCAAGCGUUGUCCGGAUUGACUGGGCGUAAAGCGCACGCAGGCGGCUGGGCACGUGGGGUGUGAAACCUGGCGGCUUAACUGCCAGACGACACCUCAUGCGGCCCGGCUGGAGGCAGGCAGAGGUUCGUGGAAUUGCCGGUGUAGUGGUGAAAUGCGUAGAGAUCGGCAGGAACACCAAGGGCGAAAGCAGCGAACUGGGCCUGUUCUGACGCUCAGGUGCGAAAGCGUGGGGAGCGAACCGGAUUAGAUACCCGGGUAGUC
rnacentral:rRNA from 1 species